rnacentral:rRNA from 1 species
GGAUCCGUGCUCUUCUGAUACUUGCGGAUCUCCCGGAGCGCGACGGUGCCGGGGUGGAAUUGAUGGGGCUUCUUCACACCACCGGUGGCUGGGGCGGACUUGCGGGCCGCCUUGGUCAGCAAUGAAAAUGGAUCAUUAAUCAAAUUAAUGAUUUUAAAAUAA